rnacentral:siRNA from 1 species
ACAACACAAAAGGCUUUUGUUCAC